rnacentral:rRNA from 1 species
CGUAAACAAAGGGAAGCGACCAUGUGAAUGCAAGCAAAUCUCAAAAAUAACGUCUCAGUUCGGAUUGUAGUCUGCAACUCGACUACAUGAAGCUGGAAUCGCUAGUAAUCGCGAAUCAGAAUGUCGCGGUGAAUACGUUCCCGGGUCUUGUACACACCGCCCGUCACACCAUGGGAGUUGGGGGUGCCUGAAGUUCGUGACCGCAAGGAUCGACCUAGGGCAAAACCGGUGACUGGGGCUAAGUCGUAACAAGGUAAC